rnacentral:rRNA from 1 species
GUGUCAGCCGCCGCGGUAAUACGGAGGAUCCGAGCGUUAUCCGGAUUUAUUGGGUUUAAAGGGUGCGUAGGCGGGAGAUUAAGUCAGUGGUGAAAGUUUGCGGCUCAACCGUAAAAUUGCCAUUGAUACUGGUUUUCUUGAGUACAGUUGAGGUAGGCGGAAUGUGGUGUGUAGCGGUGAAAUGCAUAGAUAUACCACAGAACACCGAUUGCGAAGGCAGCUUACUAAAGUGUAACUGACGCUGAGGCACGAAAGCGUGGGGAUCAAACAGGAUUAGAUACCCCUGUAGUCC